rnacentral:misc_RNA from 1 species
UCGAACAAGGAGGGAGGACUCGUGUCGCUGGCCCUGGAUGCACCGGUCCUUCUUCCCUUUCACACACACACACUUGUGCACACAUUUGUAGGUCCUCGAGAGAGGAUCUAUGUCUUUCACCAUCCCAACCAACGUAUGUCUAGAAUGUCAAUAAUAAAUUA